GAUGAACGCUGGCGGCGUGCCUAAUACAUGCGAGUCGAGCGAACAGACGAGGAGCUUGCUCCUCUGACGUUAGCGGCGGACGGGUGAGUAACACGUGGAUAACCUACCUAUAAGACUGGGAUAACUUCGGGAAACCGGAGCUAAUACCGGAUAAUAUAUUGAACCGCAUGGUUCAAUAGUGAAAGACGGUUUUGCUGUCACUUAUAGAUGGAUCCGCGCCGCAUUAGCUAGUUGGUAAGGUAACGGCUUACCAAGGCAACGAUGCGUAGCCGACCUGAGAGGGUGAUCGGCCACACUGGAACUGAGACACGGUCCAGACUCCUACGGGAGGCAGCAGUAGGGAAUCUUCCGCAAUGGGCGAAAGCCUGACGGGGCAACGCCGCGUGAGUGAUGAAGGUCUUCGGAUCGUAAAACUCUGUUAUUAGGGAAGAACAAAUGUGUAAGUAACGAUGCACGUCUGGACGGUACCUAAGCAGAAAGCCACGGCUAACUACGG
rnacentral:rRNA from 1 species